GAUGAACGCUGGCGGCGUGCCUAAUACAUGCAAGUCGAGCGAACAGACGAGAAGCUUGCUCCUCUGACGUUAGCGGCGGACGGGUGAGUAACACGUGGAUAACCUACCUAUAAGACUGGGAUAACUUCGGGAAACCGGAGCUAAUACCGGAUGAUAUAUUGAACCGCAUGGUUCAAUAGUGAAAGACGGUUUUGCUGUCACUUAUAGAUGGAUCCGCGCUGCAUUAGCUAGUUGGUAAGGUAACGGCUUACCAAGGCAACGAUGCGUAGCCGACCUGAGGGGGUGAUCGGCCACACUGGAACUGAGACACGGUCCAGACUCCUACGGGAGGCAGCAGUAGGGAAUCUUCCGCAAUGGGCGAAAGCCUGACGGAGCAACGCCGCGUGAGUGAUGAAGGUCUUCGGAUCGUAAAACUCUGUUAUUAGGGAAGAACAAAUGUGUAAGUAACUAUGCACGUCUUGACGGUACCUAAUCAGAAAGCCACGGCUAACUACGUG
rnacentral:rRNA from 1 species